rfam:Nomascus leucogenys chromosome 3, whole genome shotgun sequence.
GCUGGGCAUGGUGGCACAUGCUUGUAGUCUCAGCUAUUCAGGAGGCUGAGGCAGGCAGAUCCCUUGAGCCCAGGAGUUCUGGGCGUAAUGUGCUAUGCCAGUUGGGGGUCCACACUAAAUAUGGCAUUAAUAUGGUGACCUCCUGGUAGCAGGGGACCACCAGCUUGCUUAAGGAGGGACGAACUGGUCUGGGUUGGAAACAGAGCAGGUUAAAACUCUGGUGCUGUCAGUAGUGAGAUUGCGCCUGUGAAGAGCCACUGCAUUCCACCCUGGGCAACAUAGCAAGAACCCAUCUCUA